rnacentral:rRNA from 3 species
UUGUGUAUUAUUACUUUGUUGCUUUGGCGAGCUGCCUUUGGGCCUUGUAUGCUCGCCAGAGAAUACCAAAACUCUUUUUAUUAAUGUCGUCUGAGUACUAUAUAAUAGUUAAAACUUUCAACAACGGAUCUCUUGGUUCUGGCAUCGAUGAAGAACGCAGCGAAAUGCGAUAAGUAAUGUGAAUUGCAGAAUUCAGUGAAUCAUCGAAUCUUUGAACGCACAUUGCGCCCCUUGGUAUUCCGGGGGGCAUGCCUGUUCGAGCGUCAUUUCAACCCUCAAGCUUAGCUUGGUAUUGAGUCUAUGUCAGUAAUGGCAGGCUCUAAAAUCAGUGGCGGCGCCGCUGGGUCCUGAACGUAGUAAUAUCUCUCGUUACAGGUUCUCGGUGUGCUUCUGCCAAAACCCAAAUUUUUCUAUGGUUGACCUCGGAUCAGGUAGGGAUACCCGCUGAACUUAAGCAUAUCA